GGACUCAGUUACAGUGGGUACACAGUUGGAAGACUUGAAGUACCAGGUUAGAGGCAGAUUGUCAUGGAGAAAAUCUCUCAACCCAGAAUUCUCACUUGAGGGACAAAUGAACAGGCUCAAAUUAUCAUAUUUUGAACACAUUACGUGAAGACCUACUUCUGUGGAGAAAUCCAUAAUGCUGGGAAGGUGAAAAGAAAGAAAAAGAAUGAUCAACAACAAUGGGUGCACCUGAAGGAUCAGGUUGGGGACAGAUUGUCCUGGAGAAAACCUAUCUAUGUGGUCACUAAGAGUCAACACUAAUUUUAUGACAUAUAAUCGGUCAAAAGAGGCAGGCUAAUCAAUGCUUUUUUUAAUGAAAUAUUUCUGUUUCCUCUUUGUACCCAGCCUACAAAUGAUAUGCAAAGUUCAAACAAUGCCAUUACGUCGUAUGAUGAUAAGAUCUUUGCCUAUCUGUCACUUGCAUUAAAGUGAACUUUGCCUCUCUGUUGAGUAAACUACUCAGCUUCAGAUUUUCUUCUCCUGUAUGGCAACAUCAGCAACUUGACAUCCUGAAGACUUUAAUCUAGCCAUGUUAUAAACACUGUUAGUACUCCAAAAGAUCAUCAGCUCUUCCUCAGUAGCAUGUUGAAUGCCAUCUGACCUGAGGGACCCUAUAUUGGGGUGGGGUGGCUGCUUUCCUGUCGGGUUACGUAUUUCCAUUACUUGUCUCCCCCACUCCUGCUGCUCGUUCCAUUUCCAUUCUGGCUUUUUCUUCAUUGUUUUGCAGUUUCUGCUGGAAGCAAUGAGGGAAAUGUGUUU